rnacentral:rRNA from 1 species
UGUCCGGAUUUAUUGGGCGUAAAGGGCUCGUAGGCGGCUCGUCGCGUGCCGGUGUGAAAGUGCCAUGCGCUUAACGGUGGAUCUGCGCCGGGUACGGGCGGGCUGGAGUGCGGUAGGGGAGACUGGAAUUCCCGGUGUAACGGUGGAAUGUGUAGAUAUCGGGAAGAACACCGAUGGCGAAGGCAGGUCUCUGGGCCGUCACUGACGCUGA